AGUUCGGAUUACAGCCUGCAACCCGGCUGUAUGAAGCUGGAAUCGCUAGUAAUCGCAGAUCAGAAUGCUGCGGUGAAUACGUUCCCGGGUCUUGUACACACCGCCCGUCACACCAUGGGAGCCAGGAAUGCCCGAAGCCAGUGACCCAACCUUUAAGGAGGGAGCUGUCGAAGGCAGGUCUGGUAACUGGGGUGAAGUCGUAACAAGGUAAC
rnacentral:rRNA from 1 species